rnacentral:rRNA from 1 species
AUUGAACGCUGGCGGCAGGCCUAACACAUGCAAGUCGAGCGAACCUAGCCUGCUAGGUGAGCGGCGAACGGGUGAGUAACACGUAGGAAUCUGCCCGAUAGUGGGGGACAACGUCUCGAAAGGGACGCUAAUACCGCAUACGCCCUAAGGGGGAAAGCAGGGGAUCUUCGGACCUUGCGCUAUCGGAUGAGCCUGCGUCGGAUUAGCUAGUUGGCGGGGUAAAGGCCCACCAAGGCGACGAUCCGUAGCUGGUCUGAGAGGAUGAUCAGCCACGCCGGAACGGAGACACGGUCCGGACUCCUACGGGAGGCAGCAGUGGGGAAUAUUGGACAAUGGGGGCAACCCUGAUCCAGCCAUGCCGCGUGUGUGAAGAAGGCCUUCGGGUUGUAAAGCACUUUAAGCGGGGAGGAAAGUUCGCUGGCUAAUAUCCAGCGGAAUUGACGUUACCCGCAGAAUAAGCACCGGCUAACUCCGUGCCAGCCGCCGCGGUAA